rnacentral:lncRNA from 13 species
UAAGGGAAUACAAAGAUAAAUGCCUGCACUCUACUCCCAAGGAGUUCAGAGUCCAAGAGAGAGACAGAUAUAUCAACAAAUAUUAACAGUACAGAGUGAUAAGCCAACAGUCUAAGUAUACGAAUAGUUCACAGGCAGAGAAGAGAAGGGAGUGAUUACCCAUCAUUCCCAACCCCUCACUGGGAAGAAGCCUGUGGAAGAGGCGACACCUACUCUGGACUUUGAAAGGCAUUUCAGGCAGUGGAGUUGGAGCACACAAUCACACAGUGGUGAAACUGAAUGGCAUGUUUAGAAUGAUGUUGCUGGAGGGUAAGAGGAGGAUGAUGGAGACAAAGAAUGCAAAGAGCUUAACUACCGCACCAGCAUGGUACGAGGAGCUCCCUGGUGUGCUUUAAUAUUUAGACCAAACACAAGACAGAUGUAUUCCUGGUGCCUGUGUACCAUUACAACUCAUUGAUCAAAUGCAGCAACAUCAACUUCCCAAGAAGUCCCUUUCUUCAAAACACAGACUCUUGGACUUUGGUUCCCUGAACAGGAUCCUAAGGUUGGAAACUCUCCAAGUAACAGAAAAUUGGCAGGUUCUUCAUCGUUGAUUCCUUACUGGUUCUCUGGAGAGGAAAGGAGUUCUGCUCAGGACUUGGCCGAGCCUUUUGCCUGGCGCCCCAGCCAGUAACUCAAAGUUCAAGGAACUUGACAGACAGAGGCUGUUUGUGUAGUGAAAGAUUUGAACAUGCCCAGUUCAGUCUGCCAUCGCAUGUGUACAUCUUGUCUCCUUCCAGGGGAG